UACGGAGGGUGCGAGCGUUGUCCGGAAUCACUGGGCGUAAAGGGCGCGUAGGCGGCGCGGUAAGCGUGCGGUGAAAGCCCGGGGCUCAACCCCGGGUCGGCCGUGCGGACUGCCGGGCUCGAGCACUGUAGAGGCGGGUGGAAGUCCGGGUGUAGCGGUGGAAUGCGUAGAGAUCCGGAAGAACACCGGUGGCGAAGGCGGCCCGCUGGGCAGUGGCUGACGCUGAGGCGCGACAGCGUGGGGAGCAAACAGG
rnacentral:rRNA from 1 species